rnacentral:lncRNA from 1 species
ACUUAAACUUAUAUUUUAAUUAAAAAAUAAGCUUAAAAAAGUUAAUUUAAUCCAAAUAAAUCCAUUCUGCCCGGACUCAAUUUUCAGUCCGGCCUCCUAGGCCGGAUUGAAAAAAAGAGUAAUUAGGGAGAUUCCCAUUCACCCGGGAAUCGGAAUCGAAAUCGAAAUGAAAAUUCCACAUAUACUACAAUAAAAACGGUCUAUAGCUACACUUUUAAAUGUCGAUACAGGUAAAAAAAAGUGCUGCUGGAUAAAUUACCGACACUUUUAAAAAGUAUUGCUAUAUGUGGGGCCACUAGCUAUAUAGUAAUAUUUAAAAAGUGUCGUUAUAACCUAAAAAGAGUGCUGUUAAUUUACCAAUACUUAUUUAAGUAUUUAGCAACCGUCGGAACUCUACCUCGUUGGCUGCGGUGGGGGAGGAGGAGGAGAGGGAAGGGCUCUUCGUCUAGGAUUUUAGUAGAUUGAGUGAGGAAAGAAGGGGAAAUGGUAAUCGAUUUUUCUUUUUUUCUUCUGUUUGUAAUCGGGCUGAAUGGGUUGGGUGGGGUGGGUUGAGUAGAGUAAUCUUUUAUUUUUGGUUGGAUUGGGCUUUAUAUUUAGGCAUUAGUAGAUUUUUUUUUAAGUUUUAGCAUAAAUGAGACACUUACAUAGAAGUUUCCCAAAUAUAUGUCCCUAUAACCUAAUUCUGUUGCAGUGUACCAAACACGGACAAACGAAUUCAUCUAUUCCAAUUCCGAUUCCAG